CAGCCGUAAACUAUGCGCGUUAGGUGUAUCGGUGACCACGAGUUACCGAGGUGCCGAAGGGAAACCGUGAAACGCGCCGCCUGGGAAGUACGGUCGCAAGGCUGAAACUUAAAGGGAAUUAGGGCGGGGGAGCACCACAACGGGUGGAGCCUGCGGUUUAAUUGGACUCAACGCCGGAAAUCUCACCGGAUAGGACAGACAUAUGAUAGUCGGGCUGAAGACUCUACUUGAUGAUCUGAGAGGAGGUGCAUGGCGUCAGUGACU
rnacentral:rRNA from 1 species